CGUAGGGGGCAAGCGUUGUCCGGAAUUACUGGGCGUAAAGCGCGUGUAGGCGGGACGGCAAGUCGGACGUGAAAGGCGCGGGCUCAACCCGCGAAGGCCGUUCGAAACGGUCGUUCUUGAGGGUCGAAGAGGAGAGUGGAAUUCCUGGUGUAGCGGUGAAAUGCGUAGAGAUCAGGAGGAACACCCAUGGCGAAGGCAGCUCUCUGGUCGACCUCUGACGCUGAGACGCGAAAGCGUGGGGAGCGAACGGGAUUAGAUACCCCGGUAGUCCACGCCGUAAACGAUGGUCACUAGGUGUAUGCGGUAUCGACCCCGCAUGUGCCGCAGCUAACGCAAUAAGUGACCCGCCUGGGGAGUACGGCCGCAAGGUUG
rnacentral:rRNA from 1 species